GAUGAAGAACGCAGCAAAAUGCGAUAAGUAAUGUGAAUUGCAGAAUUCAGUGAAUCAUCGAAUCUUUGAACGCACAUUGCGCCCACUGGUAUUCCGGCGGGCAUGCCUGUUCGAGCGUCAUUUCAACCCUCAAACCCCCGGGUUUGGUGUUGGGGAUCGGCUCUGCCUCACGGCGGUGCCGCCCCCGAAAUACAUUGGCGGUCUCGCUGCAGCCUCCAUUGCGUAGUAGCUAACACCUCGCAACUGGAACGCGGCGCGGCCAUGCCGUAAAACCCCAACUUCUGAAUGUUGACCUCGGAUCAGGUAGGAAUACCCGCUGAACUUAAGCAUAUCAAUAAGCGGAGGA
rnacentral:misc_RNA from 1 species